AGAAUGUCAGGAAUCCAUGUAUGGUUUUCUGAAAAAAAUCCUGGAGAAAUUUCUUUAAUAAUCCAUGAGCUUCUCAAGCAUGGAGUUGUUUUAGCAGAAUUUAUGAUGAAAUUUCUGGAGGGUAUUGUAUAGAAAUUUCUGAAGAUUGCAUGGAACAUAUGCCUUGGAAAUGUCAUUCGUAAAUUGCCAUAAAAAUCUUCCAAGAGAUAAACAAAGGGUAUAGGAUGUGUUUGUGAACCAAUUUAGAUGACCGCUAAGAUUUUUUUGAUACACCAAAACCUCCAUUUAGGUAAUGAGUCGGGACUGCCUAAAUAGAAUUUUUACCUAAAUGGAUUUAUUACCUAAAUGGAUUCAGUCUAUUACUUAAAUGGAGUACAAGGUUGAAAAGAAGUUCAAGAAGGGAGCGUGACUAGGAGAUUUAAAGGGGGUCAUGCGAAGUUUCAGAGGACUUUCAAGGGAGUCUCAGGAAAGGAGGGGCUUUAGGGGCAUUUUCGGGGGUUUUGGAGGGUCUCAGGUCAAACUUGUCAUUCAAACAACUAGAUGGGCACGAAAAACGAAAAACCCUACAAAAUUCCGCCAGACUGAAAAAUUAUUCAAUGUCGGGUCAAAGUCGGGUCAAUUUUUAUCGUAUGUUGGGCCACUGUUGGACCAACAUCGAACAACUGUUGGGUCUAUAUUGGGUUUGCCGGCUAAAAUGAAAACAGGUCAAUGAUAGGUUGAUGUCGGGUUUGACGUCAUCAAUGAUGGUAAACACAAUCAAAUUCCAUUUAGGUAACGUUACCUAAAUGGAGGGACCUAAAUAGAUUUUACCUUAACGGAUCCUACCUAAUAAACAGAUUUGACUUCCUGAAGAACUUUUCCGAAGGCGGCACUUUUCUAUCUGCUCUGGAUCUCGAAAUAGCGGAGUUUGAAGCUUUACUUGACAACUAGCGCCACCAUGUAGCGAAAUCGCCAACUUAUUGUUGAACCACCAGAUUGCUCUUGACUUCCUGAAGAACUUUGCGAAGACGGUACUUUUCUAUCUGCUCUGGAUCUCGAGAUAGCGGAGUUUGAAGCUUUGCUUGACAACUAGCGCCAUUUAGCGGCGAAAUAACCAACUAAUUAUUGAACCACCAGAUUGCUCUUGACUUCCUGAAGAACUUUGCUCACGACGGCCCUCUUCUAUUUGCUCUGGAUCCCGAGCUGGAGAUGUUUAAAAUUUUACUUCACGAAUAGCGCCACCUAGCGGCGAAAUCACCAACUAAUUGUUGAACCACCAGAUUGCUUUUGACUUCCUAAAGAACUUUGUCGAAGACGGCACUUUUCUAUCUGCUCUGGAUCUCGAGAUAGCGGAGUUUGAAGUUUUACUUGACAACUAGCGCCACCUAGCGGCGAAAUCACCAACUAAUUGUUGAACCACCAGAUUGCUCUUGACUUCCUGAAAAACUUUGCCGAAGACGGCACUUUUCUAUCUGCUCUGGAUCUCGAGAUAGCUGAGUUUGAAGAUUUACUUGACAACUAGCGCCACCUAGCGGCGAAAUCACCAACUUAUUGUUGAACCACCAGAUUGCUCUUGACUUCCUGAAGAUUUUUGCUGAAGACGGCACUUUUCUAUCUGCUCUGGAUCUCGAGAUAGCGGAGUUUGAAGUUUUACUUGACAAAUAGCGCCACCUAGCGGCGAAAUCACCAACUAAUUGUUGAACCACCAGAUUGCUCUUGACUUCCUGAAGAACUUUGCCGAAGACUGCACUUUUCUAUCUGCUCUGGAUCUCGAGAUAGCGUUUGAGGAGUUUGAAGCUUUACUUGAAAACUAGCACCACCAAGCGGCGAAAUCACCAACUAAUUGUUGAACCACAAGAUUGCUCUUGACUUCUUGAAGAACUUUGCCGAAUACGGCACUUUUCUACCUGCUCUGGAUCUGGAAAUAGCGUUUGAGGAGUUUGAAGCUUUACUUGAAAACUAGCACCACCUAGCGGCGAAAUCACCAACUAAUUGUUGAACCACCAGAUUGCUCUUGACUUCCUGAAGAACUUUGCCGAAGACGGCACUUUUCUAUCUGCUCUGGAUCUCGAGAUAGCUGAGUUUGAAGAUUUACUUGACAACUAGCGCCACCUAGCGGCGAAAUCACCAACUAAUUGUUGAGCCACCAGAUUGCUCUUGACUUCCUGAAGAUUUUUGCUGAAGACGGCACUUUUUUAUCUGCUCUGGAUCUCGAGAUAGCGGAGUUUGAAGCUUUGCUUGACAUCUAGCGCCACCUAGCGGCAAAAUCACCAACUAAUCAAUAAAUCGCCAGAUAGUUGUUGACCUACUGUACAACUUUGCCGAAGACAGCAUUAUUCCAAAUAAAGUAGAUCUAGAGAUAUUGCAUGUGAUAACUUAUGAGUGCUUCUACUGGCGAGUGUACAUAGCAACCACUUCUACAUAGCGCCUCUAUCGGCCAAAUUGCCAACUAAUUGGAUGAUAGUUGGCAUUGUGUGGUAGAUCUGUUCUAGUACUACAACUUUGCCAAAGAAAGUAUGGUGCUAUCUUGUAAUACGCCUGAGAUAUUCGCUCACACCCCCAAUUAGGCAAAAUCCCAUAAGCUCUGUGAUUCCCACAACACGGAUUCCUACUGCACCCCCGAACCAACCGUGUAGUAGGAGUCUAGACUGUAAUCAGAUCUAUUUUCCCAUCAAGUGGGGUGGCGGUGGUCUACGUAGUCGUCCUGUCGGACUGCUCAGGUCUUGGAGAGCCAGAUAGUUUGCAGAGCACCAAACCAACCGACCGCAAAGCGGUCGGUUGCGGGAGUAUCGAGCAGUACUUUGUCCUGCCGGCGUCCAUCGAGGCCGUGAUCGUGAGUAGAUGCAUGCGAAGAUUUGAGAAGUGUACACGAUGAAGAAAACGAAUGUAGUGAUUGGCCAAUCGAAGUGCAUGUAAAUGUGGCGAGAAUUUUUUGAUUUAGUAAAUAAAGGUUGAUUUUGAUGCAAUAUUUCAGUAAAUUUUGAA